rnacentral:hammerhead_ribozyme from 1 species
GCACUGCUGAAGAGUCCUAAGCAGGACGAAACGACUUUCCGGUGC